GGAUUAGAUACCCUGGUAGUCCACGCCCUAAACGAUGAGAACUAGACGUUGCGCUCAACUCAGAGCUUAGUGUCGCAGCUAACGCGAUAAGUUCUCCGCCUGGGGAGUACGGCCGCAAGGUUGAAACUCAAAGGAAUUGACGGGGGCCCGCACAAGCGGUGGAGCAUGUGGUUUAAUUCGAUGCAACGCGAAGAACCUUACCAGCCCUUGACAUCCCCGGAACUUGGCAGAGAUGCCUUGGUGCCUUCGGGAAUCGGGUGACAGGUGCUGCAUGGCUGUCGUCAGCUCGUGCUG
rnacentral:rRNA from 1 species